rnacentral:snRNA from 1 species
GUGCUUGCUUUGGCAGCACAUAUACUAAAAUUGGGAUGAUACAGAGCAGAUUAGCAUGGCCCCUGUACUAGGAUAACAUACAAAUUUGUGAGGCUAUCCAUAUUUUA